UCUGCAAGUUCUGCUUUUCCUGUUAUCCCAACUGUAGUAUCAAAAAGUUGUGCCAACUCAGCCUUUGCAUCUUCUAGGACUUGGAUAAUGUUGUCUUCAGUCAAAUCAAGAGGUGAAAGUGAAGCUGAUAUUCUACACAAAUAUGUAGUCCUUUUUUUCCUAAUUCUUGAUGAUGAUGAUGAUAAUCUUAGACUUGUUAUGCCACCAUUUUUAAAUUUUGAGACACACACAACAUUUUGGAAAAUUGGUAGCAAUUGAGAAGCAAAAGUGUUGAAUUUAG
rnacentral:misc_RNA from 1 species